UGCAUGGUCAGGGCUCACUAGAGACAGAGA
rnacentral:piRNA from 1 species